CGCUCUCACUCCCUCUAUCUCGUGACGGUUCUGGAUCUCGUCAAGUCUCACCGAAAGAGGGGUGGUACCACAUUAUUGCCCGCUCAGUCGCCAUCUACAAGUAGGUUUUCUCGGUAUAUUUUUCGAAGCCUCUGCCUCUAAUAUCAGCAUACAAACUAGUUAUACAUUUAUUUCUUCAAAUCAGUUAUUGGACAUAUUAUUGGCUAAGCUUUUGGCUCGCAAGCACAAAGUACUUGAGUACUUUCGGUUCUUGAUAUGACAUUUGAGUAAUAGUAAGAUGAAGUUCAAGGAUUUGGUUCUCUGUUGUUCAAGUGUUCACCAACUAAGAAGUUUUUGUGAUGCAGAUUAUGGGAAUCGACACCGCGCUUGAAAAAUUCCAAACUCUUGGAGAUGAUGACAUUUUGAAGGCAUCGUGUAAAGGUUCUAGAAUAUGAUUUGUUUAGAGAAUGGUGGAUAAAUUAUUGAGAUGGCAUAUGUACAUGGAUAUUGUUUUACAUUUUGAUUUUGAACUUUUUGUGAAUACUGGGAAAUGAUUUAUCAAAUAAUUAGUGAUUUAUAAUAUUUA